rnacentral:rRNA from 1 species
UACGUAGGGGGCAAGCGUUGUCCGGAAUCACUGGGCGUAAAGCGUGCGUAGGCGGUUUGUUAAGUCUGAAGUGAAAGGCCAUGGCUCAACCAUGGGAAUGCUUUGGAAACUGGCAGACUUGAGUACUGGAGAGGCAAGGGGAAUUCCACGUGUAGCGGUGAAAUGCGUAGAGAUGUGGAGGAAUACCAGUGGCGAAGGCGCCUUGCUGGACAGUGACUGACGCUGAGGCACGAAAGCGUGGGGAGCAAACAGGAUUAGAUACCCUGGUAGUCCACGCCGUAAACGAUGAGUGCUAGGUGUUGGAGGUUCAGACCUUCAGUGCCGAAGGAAACCCAAUAAGCACUCCGCCUGGGGAGUACGGUCGCAAGACUGAA